AAACCCAGUAACUGUAAACCCUAUUCUUUACCACACUUCACUCUCUCGACUCUUAACCUCUUCUCCUUCUCUGAAACGCGUUUUACCUCUGCCUCCACCGUCCUUGCCGCCGCCGGAGACGUCCUAGCCGGCGUCGGAGCCGUCCUUCCCGCCGCCGUCCUUCCCGCUCUUGUUUUGUGUUCCUUUGUGCACGGUUCUUGCCAUCUUAACCUCUGUUCCAUCUCUCAAAAGCUUGCUGCACCUUGUGCCUCCACCGUCCUUGCCGCCGCCUCCGUCCCUGCUGCCCCGUUGUCUCUUUGAAUUCAGAAACGCAAUGGAGUCUCUCUCAGGAAUCAAACCCUUUACUCUCUCGCGCGAAUCAAAUCCCUAGUUCGAUGGAGUCUCCUGUGGGCAGCUCCUAUAGACGUCUUCUAUUGCCACUCCUUCUCUUCCGUUCUGUGCGCGGCUCCUCCGUUUCUGUGCGCACACAUCUAUUCUUCUCUGUGACAGCCAUCAUACUUGUACGAUUUCCUCUCCAAAACUGUUUUGUUGUAUCAAACAAGCCAACAGAUGGGAAGCGUUUUAUCUGAUCCCUUGGGAAGGUAUCAAAGUGAGCACAGCUUCAAGAUAUAUUGAUUAUAUUCUGCCCCCUGAAUAAUGGAAUCAUAAAUCUUGUGGACGUGGUAGUGUCUAUCUUAGUUUAGUUUGUUACUUUUACCACUUUAUUUGGAUUUUAAAUUGUACUAAAUAAUGAAGGUUGUGGUUCUUGGAUAUAUCAAGAUCUGAUGCAGUAAAGGCUCAACAUAUUAAAAGAAGCUAUCAUACAAGUUUAAGUUCAAUGAUGCUUUGUUUCAGUCACAUUCUUAUUGUUCAAUGUGAAUUGUAUUUUAUGUUCAAGACUUUCCUGCAGGGUCAUGCUUGUUGUAUUGAUGGUUGUUCUUACUAUGCAGCUUUUACUCUUGCAAGCUUCUUUGAACGCUACAAGAACUUGGACCUUGCUAGGAAUUUUCAAUUUCCAACCUUGAGACAGGUUAUUUCUUGCUCAAGGAUCAUGCUUUACACCAUUCAAACUAACAUGUGUAUCUGUUUCAGAAUAGUCUUGAGACUAAGAUAGAGAAGUCAAGGAAGAAACUGAAGGAGAUAAAUAAUAGAGCUAAGAAGAUUUGUGGAGUAAAUAAGGUAAUUUUCCUUUCUCAACUAAUAUCAAAUUAGAGUUACUUACCAUUUGCUUGAUGUGUAUAAUGAGAUUGCUUAGUUUUGUAUUCUAUAAACCUUCAGUGAAACUGAUUUUCACGUCCUUUUCUUCUUUUGAUCACACUUUGUCCUAGUCUUCAAUAGCAACCCUAGGAUAAAUCCAGCACACCUCUUACAGUUUUUGAAUUGAUUAUGUUAGUUAGUACUUCUUUGGUUGAGAUUGGAUAUUACACAUGAGAGAUUAAAUUCUAGCCUUGCUCUAAUAAUUGUUUCUACCUUGUUAGAAUAAAAGAGAUGAUAAUUAAUACUGGUAUAUCCAGUUUAAUAUUGGUAAAGAAAAUAGUUCAUUUGAUUGCUUCAAUUGCAAUUGGCAGCAAAACAUGAGUACAUUGGAGUGAAAGAGAAAAUCAUCUCUUCUAGCUUUCUCUAGUACCUGCUUUGAUAUUUAACCUUUCAUACAUUUAAAGUUAAUUGUACUUUAAUUGAUUUUUAUAGCUGUUUCAUUGUAAAUUUUAUUUAGCAUUUUGUAAAUUUUUUCCCCCUCAUUAAGUUUCCUAGUUUUGUUCCUGCUUGGUCAUGAGUAAAUACAAUUUAGGAUUUUUUGAAAACUAAUUGGUUUUAUGUUAAUCUGCUAAGCUUGGUGUACUUGUAGUCAUUGGAAAUUAACAGGGGAUUGAAAACAAUAGUAGCCUUAGACUAUGUUUACAUACGCACAGUACUCUUUUUAUGAUUGGAGCACUAAUCCAAGGUACUCCCUGAGCAAUCUAUGAGACCAUAAUUGAAUAGCUGAAUGUUGAUUGUCAAGUCCGUGGUUUUGCUACUCUCCUUUUAUUAUUUGAUGCCUUAUCUUUCAUGCUUUCGUCUAACUUUUUUUGUUAAUUGUUGUUCAUAAUUAGUUUGGUAGAUUGGGAUAAUAUGGAUUGAAAAUGGAUAUUUGCGAACCGUGGUGGAACCGCUGUAAUAUAUAUUAUCAAAUACAGACAAAAACAAAAACAAAUUACAGCGGUUCCGUGGUGGAACCGCUGUAAUAUAUAUUAUCAAAUACAGCGGUUACCGGCUGAAACCGCUGUAAAAGAAGACUCAAGUACAGCGGUUAUUCUAGAGAACAACUGUUGUAGGUCUGUAUUUACAGCGGUUUUAUUAAAUCAACCGCUGUAAAUAAUGCAUCUUUUACAGCGGUUAGAACCGCUGUUAAGGCUUUUGCAGCGGCGAGAUCUACAGCGGUUCUGGACCGCUAAAAACCGCUGUAAAAGGCAAAAAAAAGCGCUGUAAAAGCCAUUUUUUUGGUGUAGUGGAAAUUGAACUAACAAAUAAAGAGUUAGAAAUAAUAGUAGAAAAUGAUUAUGGGUCAUGGAAACGAGCCCUGGACUUUUGUGGGGCUGAAGAAGAGAGAAAAGACCAUAAAUCCAUAAUGGCAUAAUAUACACGCGUCAACUGUUAAUUGUUGUUGGCUCUUCCUACUGGUUUUGAAAGGCAUGGCAGGGAUUGACUUGGGUAGUUAUAGGUCUACGUAGAAGCCUACAAGGAUGCAUGGUAACAGCUACCAAAGAAUGAGUGUACUUUGGUUGUUAACACCAAAUAUUUCGUACCCUUAAAAUUCAAUUAAACAUAAUUUUUUUAGUAAUAACUUAUUCACACUUUAUUCUAUCUCCUGUCUAAUUUUCACACAUUUUUUUUAUAUAUAUUUUUUUGCGUUUUUUUGUUACAUCACGUAUUAUAUCACUCAUUUUUUUGUUUUUCUUAUUAAUCUUUUAAGAUGUAUGUGGAAAAGAGAGAUGAACAAAACAUAAUUCAAUUUUUUGGUUACGGGUGCAUGUAUCAGAACAAGGGUAAAUUUUGGAUGACUUAGUGAAAUAACAUUAUGUCUUAACCAAUGUAUGUAGCACCUCGACUUUCACAGGUCACAAUUGUAGUCUUUCUAAAAUAAAUAUGCUGAAGUUUCUCAAGAAACCAUAAACGUGGAUAACUUUUUUCAUUUUCAAAGUGUUUUUCCUAACAAUAUCAUGCACAGGCACAGCUUACGACAAUAAGUAAUUAU